UCCCCUGUCUUCCAGACUAAAACUAAAUGCAAAAGAAUGAGAAAUCUUACUAGAUCCGGAGAGGUACAGACGUCUAAUCGGCUGCUUGCUCUACCUCAUUUUUACCAGACCCGAUAUAACAUACUCCACCCAACAUCUCAAUCAGUUCAUGCAAUAGCCCAAACGACCGCAUCUCGACGUCGCACUACAUGUUGUCAGGUACCUAAAAUAAUAGUCGGAGCAAGGCAUCUUAUUCCCGAGAAGGAAUAACCUUAAAGUUUAAGGCUUUUGUGACUUGAACUGGGCAUCGUGUCUAAUGACCCGCAAAUCCUUCAUGGGCUUCUGUAUCUUCCUCGGGCCUGCACUAAUCUCCUAGAAAAUAAAGAAACAAACUAUGGUGAGCAAGUCUUCCAUAGAAGUUGAGUACAGAAGUAUGUCAUCCACAAUAUGUGAAGUUUAGUGGAUAACAUAUCUCCUUUCAGAUUUUCAAAUAGUACCUCACUUACCCGUAAUACUGAACUGCGAGAACAAAGUCGCUGAACAUAUUGCAGGAAAUUCGAUCUUUUACGAACGAACGAAGUACCUCGACAUCAAUUGCCACAUAGUUCGCAACCAGGAACAAAAGGGCUUCGUCGAAAUGAAACACAUCUCUCGAGAGAACAACUCGUCGAUAUGCUCACGAAACCUUUAGGAACCUCAGCACAUCACCGACUUAUAUUCAAGACUAAACACCUGCAACAUAAAAGCAUAAAGGGUUAAAGAAGUGGUGGUGAGGAACUUGAAGAGUCAAAAGUGAACAGGCUUCAUCUUGAAGAAUGGGUGAAAAGAAUUAAGUGUAAAAAAGGGGAAAAGGCUGAAAGAAAAUGAAUAGGUGGACCGCCCAAAUCAAAACUCUAAAAUGAAAGGUCAAUAUUUUUUCUGUUUUAAAAUUAGUUACUGUUGGGGACAAUUGGUGGUCUUAGUAGAUUCUAGAGACCACCUUCCCCCUUUUUCUUUUACUCUCCUGCAUGUUUAUAAAUUUCCAAUGCUUCUACACAAUAAACAAUGCAGAAAAUUAAAUAGCAUUAAAUACCCCAUAUUCACCCGGUUGAGUUUCUUUAGAGUGUGUGUUUAGAUAUACAUAUAUAUAUAUAGAGAGAGAGAGAGAGAGAGAGAGAGAGAGAACAAUAAUUGAGGUGGUGAGAUACAUGAGAAUAGGGAGUGGGGAAGGUGGAAGCUUAUCUAAUGAUUCUAUAAAAUUUUAAUUUCAUUUUGAUUGGGUCGCACGAAUCAUUUGCAAACCAACAAAAUUAAUCUUUCACAUCUCUAAAUUUUUCUACUUUCAUUAUUUUAAUUAAUAAAUAUUGCUCCAUCAAUUUUAUUUGUUUUCUUCUCCUAACCCAUCUAUCCUUUUUCUUUUCCUCAAUUAAUGCAUGUACUACCCACUUUCUAAAUCUUAUAAACAAUACUUAAAUAAUUCAUUCAUAAUAUAAAACUUAAUUUAAAAAUUAUAUUAAAUAUGAAUAUAUUUUAUACCCACUUAAAUAAUUCAUUUUAUAUAUUCUAAUUAAAAAAUUUAACUACUAAAAAUUACUUCUUUUAUUUAAAAAUAUUAUAAAUUUAUUAAAGUGUACGUGUCUACCAAAUUCCCAAACUUUAUAAGCCAGCAUUUUUUUAAUCAAAAUACAGCUAAUUAAGGCUUGCCUACACGCUACUUCCGAAAAUUGUUGUUGCUUUCAGCCUUCCGUUAAUUUCUGGUUUAUAUAUUAAUUUGAGUUAUUUGUUUUAAAUAUAUAAUAUUGAUUAUAUUUAGGAUCUCAGUUAUUUUAUGCUUAUUGUAAUGUCUAAAUUUAAUUUAAUAUAAAUUAAAUUAAUUUAUAAUUGUAAUUUUUUAAUUUUUUAAUUUUAAUUUAGUAUAAAAAUAAAAGAAAUUUGAUGGAGGAUGAAAUUGGAAAUAAUUUUGAAAAAAAUGGAUGAAAAUUUGGGUUCUGUGGGUAUUUUUGCCAUGUGGCACACUCCGGUUC
rnacentral:lncRNA from 1 species